CAAUAAGCGGAGGAAAAGAAACCAACAGGGAUUGCCAUAGUAACGGCGAGUGAAGUGGCAAAAGCUCAAAUUUGAAAUCUGUCUCAUAGUAGACCGAGUUGUAAUUUGCAGAGGAUGCUUUAGGUAAAGUCCCAACUAAGUCCCCUGGAAAGGGGCGCCUAAGAAGGUGAGAGCCCUGUAAUGUUGGGUGCUGAGCCUUUGAAAAGCUCCUUCAACGAGUCGAGUAGUUUGGGAAUGCUGCUCUAAGCGGGAGGUAAAUUCCUUCUAAAGCUAAAUACUGGCCAGAGACCGAUAGCGCACAAGUAGAGUGAUCGAAAAAUGAAAAGUACUUUGGAAAGAGAGUUAAACAGUACGUGAAAUUGUUGAAAGGGAAGCGCAGGCAACCAGACCUAUGGUGAACUGUUUGUCAGUCAUUCUUGAUUGUCUUUUAGUUCAUUUUAUAGGCUAGCAUUAAUCUUGGCAUAGGCAUAAAGGCUUAGGAAAUGUAGCUCCUUUUCAAGGAGUGUUAUAGUCUUGGGCAUAAUACCUAUGGGUGGGAUUAAGGAACGCGCACUUGUGCAAGGAUGCUAGCGUAAUGGUUGUCGGCGACCCGUCUUGAAACACGGACCAAGGAGUCAAGGUUUUGCGCGAGUGUUUGGGUGUAAAACCCGCACGCGUAAUGAAAGUGAACGUAGGUGAGAACUUGUAAAAGUACAUCACCGACCGAUCCUGAUGUUCUCGGAUGGAUUUGAGUAAAAGCGUAGUGCCUUGGACCCGAAAGAUGGUGAACUAUGCCUGGAUAGAGUGAAGCCAGAGGAAACUCUGGUGGAGGCUCGCAGCGGUUCUGACGUGCAAAUCGAUCGUCAAAUCUGGGCAUGGGGCGAAAGACUAAUCGAACC
rnacentral:rRNA from 1 species